rnacentral:lncRNA from 12 species
GGGGGGGGGGGGGGGGGGGGGGGGGGGGGGGGGGGGGGGGGGGUUUUUUCUUUUACAAACUUGUAAAUAUUCAAUAUUCAAUACACAAAAUCCACAACAGGGGGAUUUAAACAGAGUGGGUUUAAUCAAGUAUUUCCCUUUAUCUAGGUCCAUGUUCUUAUUUUUAAGUAUUUUUAUUUUUAAGUAUUCUUAUUUUUAAGUCUUAUUUUAAGUGUUCUGGUUUAUACAAACUCCAAAACCUGAUUCUGCAAAAAAGCCUUUCAGACCAUGGAAAAUCCCCUUUUUUUUUCCAUUUACAAACUGGAAUACACGAUAUUCACAACAGGGGGAUUUAAAGAGAGUGGGUUUAAUCAAAUAUUUCCCUUUAUCUAGGUCCAGGUUCUUUUCUUAUUUUAACUGUUCUGGUUUAUACAAACUCCAGAACUGCUGUGAUUACCAGGAAUCAUUUAUUCUGUGUCACCCUCCCCCUUUGUCCCCAGGCUCGGCUCAGGAAGGACCCGGGGAUUCCCCAGCUCAGACACUUGGUGCAGCAGCGGAGCAAAACCCGGCAGAAACGGGUGCUGGAGCUGCAGCAGAGUUCACACCUGGCCGAGCACCUGGCGGACGCUCUGAGACGACAGCGGCACUUCCAGAGCCAGGUGGGGCUGGGGACACCUGGAGGGGGGGGGGGGGGGGGGGGGGGGGGGGGGGGGGGGGAGGGGGGGGGUCCCCAAAAACGGGGGGGUGAUUUACCAAAGUGAGAGUGUUGGUGUGAUACCAGUACUCAGCUGUGUCUGCUCAAGGUGAGCCCUGCUGGCAUUUUUGGGGUGAUUUACCAAAAUAUGAGUAUUGGUCUAAUGCCAAUACUG